rnacentral:misc_RNA from 1 species
ACACCUCAACUCUCAUGGUCCGCCAUGAUGAGCUUGGACUCUGGGGGUCUUGCCGGCCUAGCGUCGGCUCCUCUCAAAUGGAUCAGCUUGCCAGUGUUUGGUGGCGUCACAGGUGUGAUAACUAUCUACGCUUGUGGUUUCCACCAUGCAACCUUCAGUGAUGGAGGUUCGCUGGAGCUCACAGAUGUCUCUCCUUGGGGAGGACAGCUUUUUGAAC